AGUGAACGCUGGCGGUAGGCCUAACACAUGCAAGUCGAACGGCAGCACAGUAAGAGCUUGCUCUUACGGGUGGCGAGUGGCGGACGGGUGAGGAAUACAUCGGAAUCUACUUUUUCGUGGGGGAUAACGUAGGGAAACUUACGCUAAUACAGCAUACGACCUACGGGUGAAAGCAGGGGAUCUUCGGACCUUGCGCGAUUGAAUGAGCCGAUGUCGGAUUAGCUAGUUGGCGGGGUAAAGGCCCACCAAGGCGACGAUCCGUAGCUGGUCUGAGAGGAUGGUCAGCCACACUGGAACUGAGACACGGUCCAGACUCCUACGGGAGGCAGCAGUGGGGAAUAUUGGACAAUGGGCGCAAGCCUGAUCCAGCCAUACCGCGUGGGUGAAGAAGGCCUUCGGGUUGUAAAGCCCUUUUGUUGGGAAAGAAAAGCAGCAGGUUAAUACCCCGCUGUUCCGACGGUACCCAAAGAAUAAGCACCGGCUAACUUCGUG
rnacentral:rRNA from 1 species